UAGUGGAGAAGGAUGGGAGACCUCUGACCUCUCUGAUGGUUUUAACUCUCUGGGUAGUGGAGAAUGAUGGGAGACCUCUGAUGGUUUUAACUCUCUGGGUAGUGGAGAAUGAUGAGACAUCUCUGAUGGUUUUAACUCUCUGGGUAGUGGAGAAUGAUGGGACAUCUCUGAUGGUUUUAACUCUCUGGGUAGUGGAGAAUGAUGGGAGAUCUCUGACAUCUCUGAUGGUUUUAACUCUCUGGGUAGUGGAGAAUGAUGGGAGAUCUCUGACAUCUCUGAUGGUUUUAACUCUCUGGGUAGUGGAGAAUGAUGGGAGACCUCUGACAUCUCUGAUGGUUUUAACUUUUUAUUUUUUAGACGUUGUGUUCAAAAUGCCUAGUGGUCCUGCCGCUGCCCCUCCCCCUCGGGACCAGGAAAUGGAAGAGGAGGAGUUUGGACCUCGGCUGCCUCCUCCUUCCUCUACAUUGACGGAGCGCCGUCCGUCCCCGACUCCCUCUGCUAAGGACGACAAGCACAAGAAGAAGUGUAAGGAGAAGCACAAAGCCAAGAAACACGGCAAGCACAAGAAGGACAAGAAGCAGAAGAAGAAGAACAAGAGGCACAAGCACAAAGGCAAGCAGAAGAAGAGCAGUAGGAAGGAGGAGUCAUCAGACAGCAGCUCAGAGGGGAGUGACGGGAACAGCCAGGAGGACGGAGAGGAGGGGGGAGGGGUAUCAACAGAAGAGCUGCUCAGAAGGUUGAAGGGCAUCCGUGGGAAGAAUCUGCAGUGAAUCUGUGAUCCGACAGACAACAGGAUGUCCUCUAUGAGGACAGAUAUCUGGAGACGGGAACCAUUCUGUAUGAAUUCCAAUAGCCCUGUAGUUAUGAUGCUGAUGAAAGUCUUACUUUACAUUUUAAAUUGUAAUUCUGAUGAGAUGUGAGUUUUUUUUUUGCUGAUCUCGGACUGAUAUGUGGAGAGAGGUCUAUCAUCUGUUAAUCAAUAAAAAUGUGAGAUUUUGUUGUUGUUGCUGUCUCUGUUAUUAUCGUGUUUUUCC
ensembl:lncRNA